UACGUAGGGUGCAAGCGUUGUCCGGAAUUAUUGGGCGUAAAGAGCUCGUAGGCGGUUAGUCGCGUCUGCUGUGAAAACUCGGGGCUUAACUCCGGGCCUGCAGUGGGUACGGGCAGGCUAGAGUGCGGUAGGGGAGACUGGAAUUCCUGGUGUAGCGGUGAAAUGCGCAGAUAUCAGGAGGAACACCGGUGGCGAAGGCGGGUCUCUGGGCCGAUACUGACGCUGAGGAGCGAAAGCGUGGGGAGCGAACAGG
rnacentral:rRNA from 1 species